UUGGAGUUGCCUCCAAAGUUGACUAGAGUGUAUAACGUUUUUCACGUGUCUAUGCUCCGACAUUAUGUUGCUGAUCCGUCGCAUGUGAUACCUCCUCAACCGUUGGAGAUUAAUCUAGAUUUGACCUAUGACGAGGAACCGUUAACGAUCAUCGAUUGAAAAGAAAAGGUUCUGAGGAACAAGACGGUGAACUUAGUGAAAGUUUUGUGGAGGAAUCUUUCAGUCGAGGGAACUACAUGGGAGACAAAAGAUCGGAUGAAGGAUUUGUAUCCUAGAUUGUUCUUCGAUCACUAGGGGUAUAUUUGGUUGUUUUGAAUUUCGGGACGAAAUUCUAUUAAGGUGGGUAGGUUGUGACAUCCCGUCCCGAGAUUAUAAAAACGUACGUAUGAAUUUACGAUUUUACCCCUAGUUCGUUACUUUAUGUGUAGUUUUGUGUUGUGUGGUGUUGUAGGACCACACACACACUCAUACACUCUCUUUCUCUCCCGGGAUUCCCUCACUCUCUGUCUCUUCUCUGUCUCUUUCCUCUCUCUCUCCCCGAGCUCCCUUCUUCUUCUUUCUUCUUCCUUCUGAAAACGUACGGACAACACACACAUCACCCAAACCUUGAUGGAUCGAAGGAACCAAGGGCAUUUUUGAACUCGUGAAGCUCGUACGAGUGCAACCAUACCAUUUUCAGGACUUUUCAAGCUUAUAGGAAGCUUCUUGAGGUCCUAAGGAGGCUUGGAGUAGUUCGUUGGAAGUUUUUGGACGUAAGAACACGGAGAACGACAAGCUCAAAGUUUGGCCGGAGCUUUCGAGGCUUUUUCCGGCGAAUCCACGGCGAGUUAGGGGUCGAGACAGAAAUUCCGGCAAAAACCCACCGCCGGCGAAACCAGUCCGGCGACGCGAGGAAGAAGACGC